rnacentral:lncRNA from 1 species
UCCACUGAAGAGCUCUUAAGGAACUGAAAAGGAACUGCUGCGUACCACUCCUGCUGAUGGGAAUUUCUUGGAUCCAAAACAAAAUCUGUGUAUUUAUUUCUUUGAAAACAUCAUUUGUCGACCGUCCUUUCACUGCCAUGGAAUGAUUUGCCUUCUCAAUCCAGUGGAUUUUAUGGGGAGCUUGCAUUUUCUGUGCCACUUUCUCC